UCAGCAACUAAGCUUCAUAACAGUAAGGAGCCCAUAAUAUCCCGAAAAUAUGUAACAACGCGUAUUGUUCCUCUAACUGCUUUGGUAAGUACAGUGGAUUAUGUAACACCUUAACGUAGUGGCAAAAGCUAUUAUCACAAGUGUAGACCUGAAGAUAUGGUCUCCGGAGUAGUGAUGUUGAUCUGGAAUAUCUCAAAACUAUCAUUACAGAUUACAGUCUAUAGUUCAUUCUGAGACUAGCUACUGUAAUCAAGAGCUAAACUUCAGGAUAGUUUGGACGACCCCCAAUGUCCCAAAGGUUCAUAAAAAUAUAUAAUAGACUUUAGGUUGGUCCAGCCAUCGCUAUUGAUUAUGAAACGUUACUCAGUAUGUCAGAUAUAGCUGAUGCUACGAGUGUAGACCUGAAGUUCUGAACUCAUGGAUAGUUUGGCUGACCUGGAACAUUCCCAUAGUGUCUCUAAAUGACAUUUCAGAUUUCAAGAGCUUCAUGGAUCUCAGCAGAUCCUAUGCUAUUAUUUAUGGUGAAAACACAAAGUUUUUCUUGUAGAUUUGAAGAGCUUCAUUAUAGAACAGUUUGGACGACCGUGAAUGUCCCAAAGGUUUAUAAUAAAAAAGUAGACUUCAGAUUGUUCCAGUAACUGCGGUUGAUUAUGCAGCGUUACUCAGUAUAACAGAUAUGGAUACAGUUUCGAGUAUAGACCCGAAGUCCUGAGCUCCAAGGAAGUUUGGCUGACCUGGAAUAUCCUUAUAGUGUCUCGAAAUGCCAUUUGAGAUUUCAAGAGCUUCGCGGAUCUCAGCAGAUUAUGGUAUGCUAUUAUUUAUGGUGAAAACACAUACAUUUUUUCUUGAAGAUUUAAAGGACUUCAUUAUAACAGUAACUGCAGUUGAUUAUGUAGCGUUUCUCAGUUUAACAGAUAUGGAUACUGUUACGAGUGUAGACCUGAAGUCCUGAACUCCAAGGUAGUUUGGCUGACCUGGAAUAUCCCCGUAGUGUCUGUGAAUGACAUCUGAGAUUCCAAGAGCUUCGCGGUCCCCAGUAGAUUAUAUAAUACUAUUAUAUAUGGUGAAAACACAUAAAAUUAUUCUUGUAGAUUUGAAGGACUUUAUUAUAGAACAGUUUGGACAACCCUAGAUGUCCCAAAGGUUCAUAAUAAAAAAGUAGACUUCAGAUUGCUGCAGUAACUGCGAUUGAUUAUUUAGCGUUUCUCAGUUUAACAGAUAUGGAUACUGUUACGAGUGUAGGCCUGAAGUCCUGAACUCCAAGGUAGUUUGGCUGACCUGGAAUGUCCCUAUAGCGUCUAUAAAUGACAUUGUAAAUGUCAAGAGCUUCACGGAUCCCAGUAUCUUAUGCAAUGCUAUUAGUUGUGGCGGAAAAACAUGAAAUUAUUCUUGUAGAUUUGAAGGACUUCACUACAGGACAGUUUGGAACACCUAGAACAUCCCAGAAUAUAAAACACCUUUUGAUAUUCUUGAUGAAGGCUACACACCAAAAAUCGAUUGAGGGUUUCAGCAAAAUUUUGCCGAGCUGAAGGUUUCAGCAAACAUUUUUGCUGGAAUUCAGCAAAAUUUUGCUGAUCUGUUCAGUAAACUCUGCUGAUCACCAGUAACGUUUUGCUGAAAUUCAGCAAAUUUUGCUGAAAGUUCAGCAAAAAAUUUUGCUGGGCCCUUCAGCACGACAAAAUUCAGCAAAAUAUUGCUGAAAGCGUUUAGUGUGUAAAUGGAUACAUAUAUGUUGGGGUCAUAUAUGACCCCUCCGGCUCAAAAGGGUUAAGCGACUUCGCUAUUGCAAUGAGUUUGUCGUUUGUCACCGAGACAACAUCGCUACCCAGUCAACCAGUGAUCGUAUUAAGAUGUUGCAUAAGAUGUUAAAGUGGAGUCGAUAUGCGUACAUUUUACAUGCGCCUAAAUGGAGGCAUGCACGCAUAUGGCAUCCACUUUAUCAUCUUAUGCAACACCUUAUACGAUUACUGGUUGUCUGGGUAUGGCCAGUUUGGCCAUAGGUGACGAAGGUCUUGUAUAGUGGCGGCGUGGGAAGAUUGUUUUCGCGAUCUUCUGAAGUUUCUCGGGGGAGCGUUUUGAAAGUACUGACGUGCCCUUCGUUUUGGCCAUGACUACUCUGCAGGCAUCACCCUAGGCGUCGUGUUGACUGCCUUGCAGAGAUUUUCGAAGCACGUGCCUUAAUCUCUUUGUCCAGUAGUGCCAGUUUAGCCUCCCGUAGGGAGCUCUUUGUAUUCCUUCUAGCUCUUAGGAUGCGCGGAGCUCUGCGAUUUCUGGACAACCCCAGUAUAAUGGUUUGCGUCUAUUUCUGGGUAGGGAUCGCCUUGACAUUGCGGCGUCACAUGCACGGUUUAGGAUUCCAACUAAAUCAUCGCUGGAUAGAUCGUCGGUGUUGCCCUCCAUAAACAAUCGCUCCACAGAUGCCAGCUUAUCGAAGCACCAGGUCAGCCAUCCCCGAUGACGGUCGAUGACCUUUGGCGGUGGCCGUCUUUUUUUUUCGUGUUCUACCCUGCAUUGAAUCGCCAGAUGGUAACUGUGCGUGUAUCCAUCGUCAACCCUCCAGUCCGAGCUAGGGUUUAGACUCUGUUGUAAACCGCUCCUCCUAGAGAAAAGGCUAUCAGGUUUGCAGAAGCAACCCAUUCCCCCUUUCCAGUCAGCCUAAGUAUACGACAAAAGAAAUGACAGAGGAGGUGCACAUAAACUUAACAUACAGAAGCGUGGAAAGGUGACCCAAGUGUUUUACUGAAUCCGUGAACAGCAAGGAGAUAAGCGUGUCGACCCUAGAGAUUGAGGUCUAAACAGAGUCUAAUCAACCACCUUCUCUGAUCCUCUCCUUAAGCCGACGGUAGCUGCCAGCGUGAUCGCCAUUAGUUACGCAACAAAGAGAUGAUUUUUUUGUAUCAUAUGAUACACAUACUGAAAAUUACAUGACAUGUAAUCAUCAUAGUUUUAUUUCUAAAGAUGAUGCACUUUAAAACUCACUGUUCAACUUUGCUCUCGAAUCAACUAUUAUAUCGUGUGUAGAGAAACCCGGAGAAAUUCGCGAAAAGGCCGUAACUGACAAAAUGUACACAAUUUAAGUGAUUAUAAGAGUGAAAAGUGAAAAUACUCACAAACUUUCCUUGAUAUCACUUUUCUAACUAUUGAAAAUCACGGGUUUAGUAGAAGGCGUAAUCCCAUUUUGUGUCGCACGAAACAAAACAAGAAUUACGCCUUCCACUCCUAGUGUUUUUGUUUACGAAAGUAAAUGGCGAAACUGAAAUCACAACGUAACACGGCGAUAGUGAAAGGCGAAACUGAAAUCAAAACAUAAACACGGCGAAAGUAAACGGCGAAAUCCUGUCAAAAUCAAAAACAAGGCGAAUAGUAGAAGGCGAUUCUGAAAUUGAUAUCGAUUCAAGACGCGUACACUGGGAAAAAAAUCUUCAUUCCUUCUACACUGAGAAAAAAGGUAUAGUAAUGCGAACCACGACAGUGUGCUUAAUUUUACCAUGCCCAAAUAUCGUAAACACAACCAAACAUUUCUUUACAUCAUCCACAAAUCAAUAAAAAUUACCAUGCUACAUGGUAACUGUAGCAUGCUGAGUUUCAUAAUAUACAUAUUCAGCAAUACUAUAUGAUUUUUACCAUUCGGUGAGCUCACAUAGUAAUAUUGACUAGAAAAAUGUUAUCCCGAACUUUCAACAUUUUUGAGCUUACAAAGCAUCAUAGUUGUUGCAAUCAUGAUUCUUAACUACUUGUUUUAGUAGCGACCAUCAUAAAAUAUCCUCCGCACACCACACGACUUGACGUGUUUUUGUCUAAAGAAAUUUUGUAAAAUUUGAUCAAAUUCCUGAAAUUCCCCUUUUAAAGCAAACUAAUAGGCAGGCAUGAUAUCUAACCGCUGUUACCGAUUGAACCGGAAAACCCGAAAUUACCACCAGCAGUUGUUCCGGACACUCCAGUAUCAAGAUCAGAUUCGAGGUACUGCAAAAGAAGUCGUAUCGGGAGUCUCCGCUCAAUCCGAUGCUGCGCAUUAUUGGCCCAUUUUCGCUAGAUUGCACGGUCCUUACAUUUUCCAUUCAAAUUCCGAGGCAGUUCCAGAAUCCGCCAGCUGACCAAAAACUAUGCACAUCGCAAGUACGUGUAACAGCCUGUAAAUGUUCCAGAGAGGUCGUUUCGUCAAUCAUCACCCGAAUAUCGUCGCCCAAUUACCCAUAGAACUUUCGCCGACUGGACCCAUCCUCAGCAGUGAUGUCAGAUUUUUUCGCGAGUGCUUCCGUAGAUGAAAUUGAUGAGCGGGGGGGAGAAUUUCAGAAUUUUUAUUCCGUAGAUUUAAGUUGAAAAUCCGUAGAUUUCCCGUAGCUUUCCGUAGGUUUCCGUAUAAAAACCGGGUUUUCUGUAGAUUUAUUCUACGGAUCCGUAGUUCCGUAAAAUAAGCGCAGUUCCGUAGAUCUACGGAAAUUUCCGUAGAUCUGGUAACGCUGAUCCUCAGAUCCUCAACCAAUCAAACCCUGCCUAGGCGCUUGUGAAGCAUAUGGAUCAUCAUAACUGUUUAUUUUGUCAAUUGUGGUUCUAAAUAAAAUAAAUAAAAUUUAAAUGAA